AUUGAACGCUGGCGGCAGGCCUAACACAUGCAAGUCGAACGAGUGGCGGACGGGUGAGUAAUGUCUGGGAAACUGCCUGAUGGAGGGGGAUAACUACUGGAAACGGUAGCUAAUACCGCAUACCAUCGGAUGUGCCCAGAUGGGAUUAGCUAGUAGGUGGGGUAACGGCUCACCUAGGCGACGAUCCCUAGCUGGUCUGAGAGGAUGACCGGCCACACUGGAACUGAGACACGUUCCAAACUCCUACUGGGGGCAGCGGUGGGGAAUAUUGCACAAUGGGCGCAAGCUUGAUGCAGCCAUGCCGCGUGUAUGAAGAAGGCCGUCGGGUUGUAAAGUACUUUCAGCGGGGAGGCGUUACCCGCAGAAGAAGCACCGGCGAACUCCGUGCCAGCAGCCGCGGUAAUAC
rnacentral:rRNA from 1 species